rnacentral:lncRNA from 12 species
CGUGUGGUUGGUGUCCGGCAGCAGCGUUGUUCGGUUCUCUAGGGAAUCUUUGGGACGAGCAAUGCCUGCGGGACAGGGGCUCCGUACACUCGUGCAAUAAGUGGAAAACCGAGCCCUGCAGGAAGGAGAGAAAGCAAAGAAAAUUAAGCUAAUAAACCUGACAGAAGACCCUUAUCAAUCAGUCGAUCGAUCAAUCAAUCAAUCAAUCAAUCAAUCAAUCCAGUUUCAUCAGAAAAUGGGUUUUUCCAGUACCUACCUAGG